GAUGAACGCUGGCGGCGUGCCUAAUACAUGCAAGUCGAACGAGUGGCAGACGGGUGAGAAAUGUCUGGGAACCUGCCCGAUGGAGGGGGAUAACUCCUGGAAACGGGAGCUAAUACCGAAAACCAUCAGAUGUGCCCAGAUGGGAUUCGCCUGUUGGUGGGGUAAAGGCUAACAAAGGCCACGAUCCCUGGCUGUUCUGCGAGGAUGACCGGCCACACUGGAACUGUGACACGGUCCAGACUCCUACGGGAGGCAGCAGUGGGUAAUCUUGCGCAAUGGGCGCAAGCCUGAUGCAGCCAUGCCGCGUGUAUGAUGAAGGCCUUCGGGUUGUAAAGUACUUUCAGCGGGGAAGCGUUACCCACAGAGGAAGCACCGGCUAACUCCGUGCCAGCAGCCGCGGUAAUAC
rnacentral:rRNA from 1 species